AGACCGCGCGCGGUGAAAUGAAAUUUCGUCAAGUCCCCACCCACCCCUCUUCUUCUCUAACCGCAGAUCAAACCCUAGCCACCAGAUUGACCCACCCCGCCUGAGCCGCCGCACACCUUCCUCUCGUUCCUCUCCACCCACGCUCCUCCUCUCGUUCCUCCCCCUUGCGCCGCCUACUAGAUCCGCAUCGACCCGAGCCACUCCGAGCUAGAUCCCGAGAAGGCCACCGUAGCGAGAUCUUCGACGCCGAUGGCAGCGGCACCGUCUCCGCCCCCGAGCUCGCGCUCUAUCUCCACGGCCUCGUCGAGAAGGCAACCAUCAGCCAUGGAGCUCAAGGACGCGAUGAGCACUGUCGCUGCCGUUGUAUCUGGCCUCUCUUCCGCUGUAUCUGGGCAUCUGGCCGCCCCUAUCCUCUCUGUUUCCUUCCCCCCUCUUUCUCUCUCGGUGUCUUUCUCAGACUCUCUCUAUCUCUGCAGACACUCCCGUAUGUGAUCGAUAAGCAUCGACGGAGGCGAAGGCCAUGGAGUCGCAGGCAAUCCACCACACGAUCAACGACGACUGCGCCUAAGAACAGAGACGCCGAGUUCGUCAAGGUUGGCCAGGAUACCCUCUUCGACCUCAUCCUGAAUAUAUGUUGCAAGAAAUUACAGAAGUUGGGUUUACAGAAACUACCCCUAUAUGGAUAACUUUUUUCCCUGAUGACUUUCUCAGACCGUUAUUGGAGUGCUACUUGGCCAAGGAAGUUGAGCAGCUAGCAAGAAAUUUCCUUUUUGACCCUUAUAAGGCAGGUUAUAAUUGGUUCUGAAGAACUGAAAGCUAAUCAUGCAAUUUAUCAGCCUGUAGAGAUCGUAUUCGAGGCCUGAUGGAGCCACGAUGUUACCUCUAAUUGAGCGCAUCGACCCUGGCCGUGGCACCACCACAUGAUCUGUCUCGAGGUCACUGUGCUGCAACCGCAGCAACACUGUCUUAUUCUGAUUAGGACGAAGACGAUAAUGGGUUCGUUACAAGGUAGUGCUCCACUGGACAAUAUGUGAGCUAAUGUUCGUCAUACUGAGCCUGUGCAUGAAUACAAGAUAGUACUAUUUUGAGAUUAUCUACCGCAGAUAAUCAAGUGAUGUUCCUCUCUCUUACAAGAGCUCCAGGCUGAAGUUCAAAGAAGCACGUAGUGCAUGUGCAACCCAUCAAAUAGGUUGUAUUUUUAGCUCUAGAUUUUAGAGCUAGCAGCAGUACUGUGAUUCAUAAGAACUAUGGAAUUAUUGUAAUAGAAAUCGAUUUUUUUAUAUUUUCCCUCACUUUUCAUUGGCAAUUGAAAUAUUUGAUAUUUACAGUCAAAUCAUGAGAAACUGAGACCUAUCAGUUCUGUAUCAAUGAGAAUUUGAAACAUGACAA